rnacentral:rRNA from 1 species
GACAGAGGGUGCAAACGUUGUUCGGAUUUACUGGGCGUAAAGCGCGUGUAGGCGGCUUUGCAAGUCGGAUGUGAAAGCCUACGGCUCAACCGUGGAAGUGCAUCCGAAACUGCAUGGCUGGAGUCUCGGAGAGGAAGGUGGAAUGCUUGGUGUAGAGGUGAAAUUCGUAGAUAUCAAGCAGAACACCAGUGGCGAAGGCGGCUCACUGGCCCGAUACUGACGCUGAGGCACGAAAGCGUGGGGAGCAAACAGG